GACGAACGCUGGCGGCGUGCUUAACACAUGCAAGUCGAGCGGUAAGGCCCUUCGGGGUACACGAGCGGCGAACGGGUGAGUAACACGUGGGCAACCUGCCCUGCACUCUGGGAUAAGCCCGGGAAACUGGGUCUAAUACCGGAUAUGACCUUCUGCCGCAUGGUGGAGGGUGGAAAGUUCCGGCGGUGCAGGAUGGGCCCGCGGCCUAUCAGCUUGUUGGUGGGGUAGUGGCCUACCAAGGCGACGACGGGUAGCCGGCCUGAGAGGGCGACCGGCCACACUGGGACUGAGACACGGCCCAGACUCCUACGGGAGGCAGCAGUGGGGAAUAUUGCGCAAUGGGCGAAAGCCUGACGCAGCGACGCCGCGUGAGGGAUGACGGCCUUCGGGUUGUAAACCUCUUUCAGCAGGGACGAAGCGCAAG
rnacentral:rRNA from 1 species